CCAAUUUGCCCACGGUAUUACUACUUGUCGGCGUGCAAUAUCCCUAUCUGCUCCUUAGUGCAUGUGGGCAUGGAUGGGAACGUGUGGCCACGGAUGGGCGCUGCCGGCGACGAUGGCAAUGCCAAUGCCAAUGGUAAAGGCGACGAGAAAUUGGAGAGAACAGAGGAAGGAGGGUAUAAGAAAAAAAAAAAGGAUAAUUUUACCCUAAUUUAUUAUCUCCUAAGUGUCGAAAGUGGCAUACGAGUAAAAUAUUUUUUCUCUCCAGCGGCAAAACAGGAAAGACGGAUAGAAUUUAGAGAGUCAUGGAAGAGAAUGGCAAAAGGUUAAAUAGCUCCUCCGAAAGCGGGCCAGAAACAAAUGUCAAACCGCAUAUUGGGGCUCUCCAAUUUUCUGCACGAGUCCAGGGCGGCGCCAACUGCUCUUCGAUCAUCUCACCUGCCGCCCAAAAACUCCGUUUGCUCCGUCGAGAUCGCGGUUUCGGUAUCAAUUACUCAGCAAAGCGCUGUGGCGGUCGACUUGCCGGCGCCCGCCGCCGCUAACUAAGCUCAGUUGUUGGUGCAGUGUACCAAGUCGAAAGCCUGGGCGUGCGUGCGUGCCACCCGUUCGUCGAAAUGCCCCAGAGAAACUUCCUCGCGCGACGGCGAAACCUCGCCGCGCGGUGCAUGGAUCGCGCGCGCGAACCAGGGCGCCUCACGGCGCGAGGCCUCGUAGCCCAACCGUCCCCGUACGUAGUCGGACCGAUCCAGAGUCCAGGCCCUACCUGCUACGGCGCACAGCGACAUCGCUAUUACGCAGCAAGGAAACAAGAGUAGUAGAGAACUGGUGUGAUCAAGGGACCUACUUCAUUGGACACAUUCCGGGUACAUGGAGCUAUGAACAAAACUGAUGCUAAGUUAGACUUGCAGUCUUACAGAGUUACACAUGCGAUGCGAGGAUCGCAACCGCUCCUACAUUCCACAUAAGCAACUAGCAGAUGGAGGUAGGUAUUACUGUCUACUGCACUCUAAAACCAAGCCUAAAUUAGUACAGAGAACAAACUAAGUAUAGCACUUGGUCGACUGGUAACUUGUUGAGAGCUCGGUGGUGCAAGGGAGAGAGUCCCAAGGGAAGGUCAUCCUCCAAUCAUCAUGCAACACUCCUUGCAGGUUGAAUGGGAAGUUGAUCGACCGUGGAGUGCCAUUGACACUGUUGCCAACGUCAGGCAAAUCAACCGUGCAUCUAUUGACCAUGCUGCUGCUGCUAUUGCAGUGUUGUGGUUGUCCAAACUCGAUGUUUGUGGGGAUCCUGCCCAUGUUCUGGAGUGAAAUGGACGAUGCGUUGAGGACCGUUGAUGCAAUAUCCAUCCCCGCUGGAAGAUCAAGCGGGAUUGCUGAGAGGACACUCAUGGUUUGAUGCUCUGCACAUGGUGGAGGAAACACUAUCGACGUAGCUGGCCUGCUGCUGCUGUCAAUGAUGCUCAGAGGAUUGUGGCAAGAGCAUGCAAGUUGCUUACAUUUGGUGGAAUGGUCUUCUCAAGUGGCUUCUGCGGCAAUGAUGGGUCAAUGAGGGACGGCAGCCGGAAUUCAUGCAUCAUCCAAUCGGUUUUGACACCUUUGGCCGCUCUGCCCUUGUAGAAGACAAGAGACUUCUUCAAGCCUAUGCACUUGCUCCCAUCGGAAGAGUAGAUCGGCCUGUCGGUUCCAGUGGCCUUCCAGAAGCCUGCUCCGGUUACCCUGUUAGGUCUUGUGCUGUUCCGACAGAGAACCAAGUGAUAGCUCGGUUGGUAGAGCCUCUAGUUGAGAGGCCGCUCACUCAGGCUCAAACCCGGGUCCUCGUAGAUUGUAUGAGUAUCUCCCUAAAGGACAAACAGAAGGUAGUUAACAAGGGAAAGAGAUGCAUAGAAGCUUACUUGGGAGAUCCCAUGGAUCAUACUUGUAGAUGUCCAGCUGCUUGAUGAGCUCAAUGGGGAGAGACUUCUGCUGGAUUUUCCUUUUGAGGUAGAAUCUGACGAGCUCUUCAUCAGUUGGAUGAAACCUGAAGCCAGUGGCGUAAUUUGCAAGGAUAUUUCUUGAGCUCAAUGCUCAUACAUCAUGGAUUCAUGGUGUCUGAAACCUGAAAACCUGAAAUGGUGAUGCUAAUCGGUGGCUGACUGACGGGUGGGCCAUACGAAGCUGCUCCUUCUCUCUCCUCGAACGGUGCGUGGUUUGUCUCUUGCUUGCUUGACCUCGGUCGGGCCGUGCCACACCCGCUCGUGCGGCCUCUCCUACCCCUAUUCGAUCGGGAUGCAGACUCCCAAUUUAAUCCCCCUGUACUUUCGCGCGGCUAAUCGAUGUGCUUAAGCCGUGUUUGUGCGUGUACACACGCUGCUAGCCGCGUGGUGCGCCGAGCCUGGCACAUCGGCAUUGCGCCCGUGCACGUGUGGCAUGGGACAGUGGCUCCUGUGGCCCAGUAAGCAUGGGGGUUUCAGGCAAAAUCCAACAUCAGUAGCAGUUCAAAACUGAGUAUUAAGCACAGCCAUAUGUUCAAUUAUAGUGUCGAUCGACCAGAACUCGGUGCUGCAGAGCAGAAGUCAGGUAGUGUUUCAGGCCUUGAAAUACAUUUCUAUGCUGAAUAUUUCAGUUAGGGAAUAACGUUUGACACUACAGUUACUUAGAAACUAGAGACAGAGAGAGAGAAUAUUCAGGAAUCAGGACUGACUGACUAUGUUGGAUGACUUGCACCGUGCCUAGACUAUUUCGGGCUUUUGGCUUCAAGAUAGUAUCCAGCUAGUAUAUGUUCUGUUUCCAUUUCGUCGCUUGUUUCCAUGGGUCUUUGUCUCUUUGACUACGCUCCAAGACACUUAAGCCAGAAUUAGUACAUCUUUUUUUAGACCAAAGAAUUAGUACAUCUUUGCAUGUCAAACAGAGUCAUGCUACACUCCGAUUCCCAAACCUUUUUUUUUUUUUUUGAAAGAAGGCGGAGCUGACGGCUACCACCGUUUACUUAAGAGAGAGGGUGCGCGCCGCGGGUUAGGCCUCCUCACUCCGAUUCCCAAACCUGGGAAAACCAAAGAAGACGAUGAGUAGUCCGCACUCCACACUUGUUACCAAGAACAGCGCGAUGCAAACACGGAGGCCCCGACCAAUUCGCGUCGGCUAGGAACGAGGCGAGCGAAGGAAAAAUAAUACUGAAGACGGAAUGACACAAAGAUACCAUGCCAGUUUCACUCUGUUUAUCAUGCAUGUACGAUGCACUGGGACGCUUGGACUCGGAUUCAACGCGAUACUUGUGAAUGAAGCAAGUGUUCCUGAGAGGUCCUGAAUCCCUGAUUCACAUUUACACUUCCCGUGCCUAUGUAUGACUCUAGAUGUACCUUUUGAAAGAUUUCAUGCAGUCAAACUUCCACAUUAC